AGAGCGCAAGGGGAAUGCCUUGGCAUCAGGAGCCGAAGAAGGACGUGACAAGCUGCGAAAAGCCUCGGGGAGGAGCAAAUAUCCAUUGAUCCGGGGAUAUCCGAAUGGGGCAACCCGGCUGGACAAUAUCCAGUCAUCCUGCGUUGAACAAAAUAGGCGUAGGAAGGGAACCGCCUGAACUGAAACAUCUAAGUAGGGCGAGGAAGAGACAUCAACCGAGAUUCCGCAAGUAGUGGCGAGCGAACGCGGAAGAGGCCAAACCGAGGGAUUUAUUCCUCGGGGUUGCGGACAGUCAUUUAGCGGAAGUUAUCUAGGAGAAGGGUCUGGGAAGGCCCGCCACAGAGGGUGAGAGCCCCGUAUCCGAAAGAGAAGGCCGUGCGACUGAAUCCAGAGUACCGCGGGACACGUGAAACCCCGUGGGAAACAGGGGGGACCACCCUCCAAGCCUAAAUACUACCUGAUGACCGAUAGAGGAGCAGUACCGUGAGGGAAAGGUGAAAAGGACCCCGGGAGGGGAGUGAAAGAGAACCUGAAACCUUGUGCUUACAAGCACUCAAAGCCCGUUAAGGGGUGAUGAGGUACCUUUUGUAGAAUGGUCCGGCGAGUUAUUGUUAUCAGCAAGCUUAAGGUAUUCAGUACCGAAGGCGUAGGGAAACCGAGUGUGAAUAGCGCGAAUAGAGUUGGUGGCAAUAGACCCGAAACCGGGUGACCUAUCCAUGGGCAGGUUGAAGUGGAGGUAAAACUCCAUGGAGGACCGAACGCACGUUCGUUGCAAUGACCGGCGAUGACCUGUGGAUAGCGGUGAAAUUCCAAUCGAACCCGGAGAUAGCUGGUUCUCCCCGAAAUAGCUUUAGGGCUAGCGUCGAGGUAAGUUGCGUGAAGGUAGAGCACUGAAUAUGUGAUGGCCCCAUCUCGGGGUACUGAGCAUAAUCAAACUGCGAAUGUCACGCCAACAUGCUCGGCAGUCAGACAGCGGGUGAUAAGGUCCGUUGUCAAGAGGGAAACAGCCCAGACCAUCAGCUAAGGUCCCAAAAUGUAUGCUAAGUGGAAAAGGAUGUGGAGAUGUACAGACAACUAGGAGGUUGGCUCAGAAGCAGCCAUCCUUUAAAGAGUGCGUAACAGCUCACUAGUCGAAUGACUCUGCGCCGAUAAUUUACCGGGGCUAAGCAUACUACCGAAGCUAUGGAUCCCAAGGGAUGGUAGGGGAGCGUUCCAUGAACGGAGAAGUACGACCGAAAGGACGUGUGGAGAUCAUGGAAGAGAGAAUGCCGGUGUGAGUAGCGGAACGUGGGUGAGAAUCCCACGCACCGAAAACCCAAGGUUUCCAGAGGAAGGUUCGUCCGCUCUGGGUAAGUCGGGACCUAAGGCGAGGCCGAAAGGCGUAGUCGAUGGACAACAGGUAGAGAUUCCUGUACCCGUAUAUAUGUGAAGGAAUGACGGAGAGAGGAAGCUGCAGCCAGCGGCUGGAAGAGCUGGUGCAAGCGAGAUAUCGGGAUGGCAGGCAAAUCCACCAUCCGAAACGAGAAGGCGUGAAGCGUACGGAAAGCUACGGCGAGUACGGAAGGCAGUGGAGGAACUUCCAAGAAAAGUUUCUAACGUUAAGUAUAUAUGGCCCGUACCGAAAAUGGACACACAUGGGUGAGGAGAGAAUCCUAAGGUGAGCGAGAGAACUAUAGCUAAGGAACUCUGCAAAAUGACUCCGUAACUUAGGGAGAAGGAGUGCUCAUAGAGAUAUGAGCCGCAGUGAAACGGCCCAAGCGACUGUUUACCAAAAACACAGCUCUCUGCUAAGCCGCAAGGCGAAGUAUAGGGGGUGACGCCUGCCCGGUGCUGGAAGGUUAAGGGGAGGGGUUAACGCAAGUGAAGCCCUGAACUGAAGCCCCAGUAAACGGCGGCCGUAACUAUAACGGUCCUAAGGUAGCGAAAUUCCUUGUCAGGUAAGUUCUGACCCGCACGAAAGGCGUAACGAUUUGGGCGCUGUCUCAGCUGUAGACUCGGUGAAGUCUUAGUACCUGUGAAGAUGCAGGUUACCCGCGACUAGACGGAAAGACCCCAUGGAGCUUCACUGCAGGUUGAUAUUGGGAUUUGAUGCAGCAUGUACAGGAUAGGUAGGAGGCAAAGAGAUGGAUACGCCAGUAUUCAAGGAGCCGCUGUUGGGAUACUACCCCUGUUGUAUUGGAUUUCUAACCGGACGACGUAGAGCCGUUGACGGGACAGUGUCAGUCGGGCAGUUUGACUGGGGCGGUCGCCUCCCAAAGAGUAACGGAGGCGCCCAAAGAUACCCUCAGCUUGGAUGGAAACCAAGCGCAGAGUGCAAAGGCAAAAGGGUGUUUGACUGCGAGACCCACAAGUCGAGCAGGGACGAAAGUCGGGCUUAGUGAUCCGGCGGUGCUGAAUGGAAAGGCCGUCGCUCAACGGAUAAAAGCUACCCUGGGGAUAACAGGCUGAUCUCCCCCAA
rnacentral:rRNA from 1 species